UACGGAGGGUGCGAGCGUUGUCCGGAAUCACUGGGCGUAAAGGGCGCGUAGGCGGCGCGGGUAGUCGUCGGUGAAAGCUCAGGGCUCAACCCUGAGUCGGCCGGUGAUACUCCCGUGCUCGAGCACUGUAGAGGCAGGUGGAAUUCCGGGUGCAGCGGUGGAAUGCGUAGAGAUCCGGAAGAACACCGGUGGCGAAGGCGGCCUGCUGGGCAGUAGCUGACGCUGAUGCGCGACAGCGUGGGGAGCAAACAGG
rnacentral:rRNA from 1 species